rnacentral:rRNA from 1 species
GUGCCAGCAGCCGCGGUAAAACGUAGGAGGCGAGCGUUAUCCGGAUUUACUGGGCGUAAAGCGCACGCAGGCGGCUUCGUGAGUCGGACGUUAAAGCUCCUGGCUUAACUGGGAGAGGCCGUUCGAUACUGCGGGGCUUGAGGUUGGGAGAGGGGUGCGGAAUUCCGGGUGUAGUGGUGGAAUGCGUAGAUAUCCGGAGGAACACCUGUGGCGAAGGCGGCACCCUGGCCCACACCUGACGCUGAGGUGCGAAAGCGUGGGGAGCAAACAGGAUUAGAAACCCGGGUAGUCC